rnacentral:rRNA from 1 species
UACGGAGGAUGCAAGCGUUAUCCGGAAUGAUUGGGCGUAAAGCGUCCGCAGGUGGCUAUGUAAGUCUGCUGUUAAAGAGUGAGGCUCAACCUCAUAAGAGCAGUGGAAACUACAUGGCUAGAGUGCGUUCGGGGCAGAGGGAAUUCCUGGCGUAGCGGUGAAAUGCGUAGAUAUCAGGAAGAACACCGGUGGCGAAAGCGCUCUGCUAGGCCGCAACUGACACUGAGGGACGAAAGCUAGGGGAGCGAAUGGG